AUGGAGAGGAACCUGGGAGCUGUGCUGGGGAUUCUGUGGGUGCAGAUUUGCUGGGUGAGAGGAGAUGGGGUUGAGCAGAGUCCUUCAGCCUUGAGUCUUCAUGAGGGAACCAGUUCUGUUCUGAGAUGCAAUUUUUCUAUCACCACUACAACUGUGCAGUGGUUCCGACAGAAUCCUAGGGGCAGCCUCAUCAAUCUGUUUUACCUGGUUCCAGGAACAAAGGAGAAUGGGAGGUUAAACUCAACAUUCAGUUCUAAGGAGCGCUAUAGCACCCUGCACAUCAGCAAUGCCCAGCUGGAGGACUCAGGCACCUACCUCUGUGCAGGGCAGGCACAGUGCUCCCAGUGAGCCUGCAGCCUUGCCACAAACUGCAGCUGUGUGUGAGACUGCAACCCCUGCCACAGGAAGACUCUGCAGGAGGCUUUGCACAGCUGUGGCUUCAUCAGAUCCCCACCAAU